UCGAUGAAGUUUGUGAGGACUUGGAGAUAAACCGCAGAAUCUUUGAUCGGAUUGUUCUCCGGUUGGCUUCAAAGCUUCAAUCGAUCUCUCGGCUAAGGAUUGUCAAAUUUGUAGUGUGCGAGUUAGCAACUUCACAGUAGCAGCAAGAAGAGAGAAACAGCAGUGAGCAGCUGUUGGUGUGAAAAUAGCAGCCAAACAGUGAAAGUAGCAGCAAAGAAAAACAGCAGCUAGCAUUGGUUAACAGUCUUGCUGUUUCAAGUCUGAAACUGUGAACUUAUUGACAGCGUGCACAUUUUGACAGCAAAGCAGUUCCAACAGCAGCUCAGGAGGAAUCAUUCGAGAUUUGAAACAGUAGGUAGCUCAACAGGUAGUGCAGGUUGAAGAAGCAGCAGCAUUGGGUUUGUGAUGAUCUGUGUGCAAAUUGAAGCUGUGUUUGUGAUUUGCUUUAAAACAAUUUGCUGUUUUUGAGUUGUUUUCGUGCAAGUAGAUUUGCUUUGAAACAACAAUUUCUAGCAGCAAAACAAGGUGUAACAGCAAGUUUGGAACCGACAGUAACAAGAACAGCAGCAGCAACAACAUUUGAAAGAUUCGCAUGCUGUCCAGUUUGAACACAUGCUUCCAGAGUUUUGACAGGCUUACUUUCAUUGUUGUGUCCUGUUUUGUGGUUUUGUGGUUUAAGAAGCUUGAUGCCUUUUAAGAAGUUUUGCAACAGUAACAAGAUUAGAAUUCUGUUUUGCCUUCUGUGCUUGAUUUAUUGGCCUCUUGAUUGCUAUUGGUCUGAACUUGGUUUCAGGCUAUCUUCAAGCAAUCGUUGUGCCAAUUAGUAAACCAAGUGGUCAAUUGUACCUUGUUGGACAAGUUCGAGCUAGAUAUAAGCUUACUCGUUUAGCAACUGUGAAGGGUGGUUAAAAUUUGAAAAUAAAAAUGUGCA